rnacentral:misc_RNA from 1 species
AAGUCGAAGCAAGGUUCCGUAGGUGAACCUGUGGAAGGGGCGUUAACACUAAACCACUAAUCAAAAACAUUUUCUCGUCGCUCUAAUAUAGUAGAGUUGACUGAUGUAGCUUUGAGUUAUCUGUUAAGGCAGAUCACUCAUGCUAGAGAUACGCUAAAAUUGACCAUCUUGUGUAUCAACGAUUUGUAAAAAUAUGGGGAUGGUUUGUCAGGAUAACGUGAUGAGAAUGAGUUUGCCUUGUCAGGGUGACGGAAUUUUACCAGUCAAUAAUAGACAUACUUUUUUUAUCAAAGAAAUUUGAUUCUCUGUUGCUUGCUCUAUCGUCGACCUUUGAGUAAAAGAUGUCCCUAUGCGGAUGCCCUUUAACUAGAAACCAAACUCUGAACAACUCUCAGCAACGGAUGUCUUGGUUUCC